rnacentral:rRNA from 1 species
UCUGCGGGAAGGGUCAUUGAAUCGAUCGAAUCCACCCUGGCAACUACCCCGUCCCCUCGCGCGGUCCCCACCUGGCCAUCCCCGGCCGGUGGGGGCAGCGAGCGCCGUGUUCCUUGGCGGGGCUCUCCGGAGCGCCGCCUGGGUCCGGCGGGCGUCCCUCCACAUGCGCGGCCUCGGUCGCCUUGGGAGGAGAAGCGCUGGCAAAUCCUUGUAUCCAACCCCAAUUUCACUCCAAACCUGAACGUCAGCUGAAGCACCUUGCGCCCCGAGCAUGCCUCGGCCGCAAUCAAAACCAACGACAACUCUCAACAACGGAUAUCUUGGCUCCCGUAUCGAUGAAGAACGCAGCGAAAUGCGAUACGUAGUGUGAAUUGCAGAAUUCCGUGAACCAUCGAAUCUUUGAACGCAACUUGCGCCCAAGGCUUCGGCCGAGGGCAUGCCUGCCUCAGCGUCGGCUCACACCUCUCAUCCUGCCACCUCUUCCAGGAGAGCGUGCGGGAGAGGAGAUGGCUCUCCCGGCUCCGAGCGCUCCCUUCGUUGGGAUGUUGCUGCCCGGGUCUGCUGAAGCGUAGAGGCUUGAACAUGGACCCCGUUUGCAGGGUGAUGGCUUGGUAGGUAGGUGCUUCCCUACGCAGCCUGCCGUCGCCCAAGGGGACUUUGUUGGGGGCCUAGCAGGAAAUCGGUGCGCGUCCGCGAGACCCCCCGAAACCAUCCUCACUUCGACCUGAGCUCAGGCAAGCCUUACCCGCUG